AUUGAACGCUGGCGGCAUGCCUUACACAUGCAAGUCGAACGGCAGCAUGGAGAGCUUGCUCUCUGAUGGCGAGUGGCGAACGGGUGAGUAAUGCAUCGGAACGUACCGUGUAAUGGGGGAUAACGUAGCGAAAGUUACGCUAAUACCGCAUACGACCUGAGGGCGAAAGCAGGGGAUCGCAAGACCUUGCGUUAUACGAGCGGCCGAUGGCAGAUUAGCUAGUUGGUGAGGUAAAGGCUCACCAAGGCGACGAUCUGUAGCGGGUCUGAGAGGAUGAUCCGCCACACUGGGACUGAGACACGGCCCUGACUCCUACGGGAGGCAGCAGUGGGGAAUUUUGGACAAUGGGGGCAACCCUGAUCCAGCCAUGCCGCGUGAGUGAAGAAGGCCUUCGGGUUGUAAAGCUCUUUCGGCCGGGAAGAAAUCGCACAGGCUAAUACUCUGUGUGGAUGACGGUACCGGCAUAAGAAGCACCGGCUAACUACGUGCCAGCCGCCGCCGUAA
rnacentral:rRNA from 1 species